UUCUCAGGUACAGCGUGCAGAAACCAGAAGCUGCCUGCUGCUCAUCUGCAAACUGCUGAGAGCAAGGCAUAUUUACACAGACUGUUUUUGGCACUUAGGAAGGGAAAAAUCUAGAGUUUGUGCUGAAAAUUGAAAAGCCUUGUUUCCAGAUUGACUGCUGAUAGCAUUCUGUUCGUAGCACUCUCUUCACACAUUGCAUACAGCUGCAAGAUGCAGCUCUCUGUCCCACUGCAUAAUUCUCCAUGAACGCAGUUUCCUGAGUUAUACAAGCUAACCCACGUAAAAUAUCCUAGAAGAAAUGUACCACUGAUUUGUCCUGAGGAGACCAGUUUCAGUGUCCUGCACCAAGUUUCUGAAGACUAAGGUGAUGGAGGCAGCAGUCUGACUGGAAACAAAUCUCUUCCAUCAGGAGAAGUGUUCAUAAUGUAGCUCUGUUUAUCAAUGUACAAAAUGAGAAAUAUUGCAGCUUCUCAGUCUGCCACAUCAAGAUGUUCAGAACCAUUUAUGCUUUGCCAUUACAACAGCCAUCAUAUCUGUUCAACCAGGAAAAUAUUUCAGUGCUCUUGUGAUAAAUAUUUUGGUUAUAAGCAUUGUUAAUUUUGCAGUGCAUGAUGUAAUUGAGUACCCUUAAACAUACAUAAAUUGUUAAGCAUUCCGGGUACCUCUCAGCAUCCCAUCUGAUUAUGGAAAUGCUCAUAGGGAAGAUUUUUCCUCCCCUAAAUGUAAUAAACAUAUUUGUAUGAAAUACAUGAAUAAGUGAUGUUUAGAGGUAGGCAGAUUAGAACUAACCGUUUGGGAAGACAUCACAUACAUGUAAGUCAGAUUCCAUCUUGUAGUGCCAGAAAAGAUACAGGCGACUUUCCAUCGCUUGCUGAUCAAUGCUUAUCGUAUUGCAAAUGCUGAAGUAAUUUUGUUCAGAAUUAUUAGCCAGAAGCAGAUAGCUCAAAACUGCAAAGGCUGGUCAAAGAUAAGGAGGAGAGAGGGCCUUUUCCAGAACAGACUACUGGCAGGACUGGCCUCACCUUGUUUUUCUCAGAGAAACUAUGAUUGAUGUAAGAAUAACCCUAGACCAAAAGCCACUGCAUCUCCCUACAGUUCCAGCAGCUGCUAGGAAAUAAGGUUUCCUAUUAUUCUUAAGAAUAGGAUAGAAAUGAUAGUUUUCUAGCUCAGAGGAUAAUAAGAUUCCCCAAGGGCUCUCAUAACUUAG